CCUACGGGAGGCAGCAGUAAGGAAUAUUGGUCAAUGGACGCAAGUCUGAACCAGCCAUGCCGCGUGAAGGAUUAAGGUCCUCUGGAUUGUAAACUUCUUUUAUCUGGGACGAAAAAAGGCGAUUCUUCGUCACUUGACGGUACCAGAUGAAUAAGCACCGGCUAACUCCGUGCCAGCAGCCGCGGUAAUAUGGAGGGUGCAAGCGUUAUCCGGAUUCACUGGGUUUAAAGGGUGCGUAGGCGGGCGGGUAAGUCAGUGGUGAAAUCCUAGAGCUUAACUCUAGAACUGCCAUUGAUACUAUCUGUCUUGAAUAUUGUGGAGGUAAGCGGAAUAUGUCAUGUAGCGGUGAAAUGCUUAGAUAUGACAUAGAACACCUAUUGCGAAGGCAGCUUACUACGCAUAUAUUGACGCUGAGGCACGAAAGCGUGGGGAUCAAACAGGAUUAGAUACCCUGGUAGUCCACGCCCUAAACGAUGAUUACUCGACAUUUGUGAUACACUAUAAGUGUUNUGAGAGAAGANAUAAUAAUACACCGAGGAGUACGACGACGAGUAGUAACGUACGAAGAAGUAGAGACGAGAGAGAGCGAGGACGACGACGAGGGAGGAGG
rnacentral:rRNA from 1 species